GAUGAACGCUGGCGGCGUGCCUAAUACAUGCAAGUCGAGCGAACAGACGAUGAUCUUUCUCCUCUUACGUUUGCGGCUUACGUGUUUGUCACCCGUUUAUAACCUACCUAUUUUUCUUGGAUAACUUCUUGAAUCCGGUUCUACUACCGUCUAAUAUUUUUUACCGCUUUUUUCAAUAGUUAUUUUCGUUUUUUCUGUCUCUUUUAGAUGUUUCCGCGCCGCAUUAGCUAGUUGGUAAGGUAACGGCUUACCAAGGCAACGAUGCGUAGCCGACCUGAGAGGGGGAGCGGCAACACUGGAACUGAGACACGGUCAAGAAGACUACGGGAGGCAGCAGUAGGGAAUAUUAGGCAAUGGGCGAAAGCAUGACGGAGCAACGCCGAGUGAGUGAAGAAGGACUUCGGAUCGGAAAACUCUGUUAUUAGGGAAGAAAAAAAGUGGAAGAAAAAAAGGACGUCGUGACGGUAACGAAACAGAAAGCAACGGCUAACUAAGUG
rnacentral:rRNA from 1 species